CGUGAAGUUGGAAUUGCUAGUAAUCGCGGAUCAGCAUGCCGCGGUGAAUACGUUCCCGGGCCUUGUACACACCGCCCGUCACACCAUGAGAGUCGGGAACACCCGAAGUCCGUAGUCUAACCGCAAGGAGGGCGCGGCCGAAGGUGGGUUCGAUAAUUGGGGUGAAGUCGUAACAAGGUACC
rnacentral:rRNA from 1 species